rnacentral:rRNA from 1 species
CCCUUAGAUGUCCGGGGCCGCACGCGCGCUACAAUGGAUGAAUCAACGCGUCAUCCUGGCCCGAAAGGGUUGGGGAACCGCUGAACCUCAUCCGUGGUUGGGAUUGGGGUUUGUAAUUAUUCCCCAUGAACUAGGAAUUCCCAGUAAGCGCGAGUCAUAAGCUCGCGUUGAUUACGUCCCUGCCCUUUGUACACACCGCCCGUCGCUACUACCGAUUGAAUGUUCCGAUGAAUACCAUGGACUGAGAGUAUGAAUGGGUUCGCUUAUUUCUGCUUCUCGGGAAGUGGAGUAAAUCUUAACAUUUAGAGGAAGGAGAAGUCGUAACA